UUUAUAUCUCGAAUCCGCCUCGAGAUAUCGUUAGCACGCCUGAAAAUCAACCAGGGAAUUAGCUCGAGCUUCGGGAAUAAGUGCGUUUUCCCCCGGCCGCACAGCCAAGCACGCUCGGUGACGCCAUUUUUUUCUGCUCAGAGAAGCCACGCUCGUUUCUGCCUGGGUUUUUCCUGGUUCUGUUUUCUUCUGCCUCCCAAAAAUAUGGCAGAAUGUGGAUUGGUGACUCUAAACAGCCUCUAGUGUGUGCAGACGUGAGGUCAGAGAGGAAGUGGGCCAUAUGUCAUGUUCUGUGAGAAAAACUUUGGAGCUGUGGCCCUUUCAACAUAAAUAAAUAAAUAAUAAAUAAAUAAAUAUGCUACAUCUUGAAUUGAUGGUGCUUCUUUAACAGGGCUUAUACUAGGCUGAUGAAGGUAUUCAGGUAAAGGGCUCCUUCCUUGCACAAUUCCUCUCACCAGUAGAUGACAGUAGUUCAUCACAGACUGUAGAAUUUUUCUUGGGCUUGUUUGUAGACAAAUAUUAUGGUUAGUAUUCUUGUGUCUCCCCAGCCUUGUUUGAGAAAUGAACAUCCUCUCACCCUUUGCAGAAAACACUUAAAAAAAAAUCCUCCUUAUUUUUUUUCUUUGUCCAAGGUCACCACUCAGCAGCUCCCGGGAGGAUAAACAUGAUUUUAAAAAAGAGCAAAAUAAUUUGUUGGUUGGUUGUUUUGGGGGUCCUUUUUUACUUCGCAUUUGAGAGUACUGUUUGAUCUGCUCAUGAUUUCCUUGAAACAUUAGAUGUGCAUUGUAAGUUAUAGUAUUCGUCUUUUCUUUAUAUUUAUGUACAUUAAUAUAUUGUUCAUCAUAAGCUUUAUGUACCUAACAAAUAUCUAAUAUAUACUCAUCAGCCACUUUCUUCUUCUCACUUGCUUCUUCAUGCAAUUAUUCAGUCAGCUUAACUGAAUAAGUGCAUAAACUCAUGCAGCUACAACUUAAGAGCUUCUUUUUAUGUUCACAUCAAACUUCAGAAAGGGGAAAAUGUGAUCUCAAUUACUGUGACUGUGGCAUGUUUGUCGGUGCAACUGCUUUAAGGUUUAAUACAUUAUGUAUUCGAAUAUGUUUUUCUGCCCACCAUAGUUUUAGAAUGGAAUAACCAUAGGUUAUUUGAAUUUCCAUUGCCUUGCUGUCAGCUUGAACCAGUCAGUAAAUCCCCAGAGAGCAGGAACUUUAAAAAAAAACUCAAAUCAUCCCAUGACGCUAUCACAAUCUCUAAGAUCAAAAGUUUCCCUAUUCUGAUGUUUGAUGUGAACAUUAAGUAAAGCUCUUGACCUGUAUUUGCAUGACAUUUAUACACAGUGUUACUUCAUGAAUGAGCAGCUGUAUCUCUGUGCCUAACAAAGUGGCCAAUAAAUAGCCCUGCCCACCCCCAUAAGAACAUAAGAAAAACACUUAAGGAAAUUGUUCAUUCUUAUAUUAAGUGAUAUUUUAGCUUGCAUGAAAUGUAAAAACAUUAUUCUUUCUUUUCAUUAGCAACAAUUUUGCGAUGAUUUUUGGAACAAGGAAUUGUUUAGAGUAAACUAUAAACUUUGAUUGUUCCAAAUUUAACUGGAUUACAUUUUCUUUUAACCUGUGACCUGUGAAGUAUGAAGAAAGGAUUUAGCAUUGGCUCAUAUCCUAAAUGAGAAUUCUUACAGCUGAUCCACAAUAGAAUGACAAUAGAAACAAUACAGGGAAGUAGCUUUUAACAUGUUCCCAUUUCAGUUUGGCCCCAAGCAACUUUAAAAGGUAUUUUAUGCUUGAUUCCAGGUUAGAAUAUAUUGUAUAAAUCCAACAAAACAACUAAUUUGCUAUUAUGAGCUGUAAUGAUACGGGGCAGAAUUUAACCCAAUUUUCCCAAUUACCUUCGGAGUUGGAUGUAAUUUCGACCUAAGCCAAUGUGUAGUUGGCAAAGUUUAGCGUCUUGUACGUGAUAUGCAAUGAUCAAAUUCUUAGCCUUUAUAAGGCCAUAAUCUUUUUUAUCAAUGUGUAUCUCCUGCUGUCAGAAGAUGUUUGCAGAAUUAGCCAUAUUUUUUGCUUUUCAUUAAUAAUAAUAAUUAAUCAUUAAUAAUAAUUAUUCCAAAAAGAUGUCUGCUCCCCAAAACUGCUAAUACAGCCACCUAGGAAUUUCUAGAUCAUCCGUUUUCAAACUUUAAAUGCAGCUUUUCUUUUUUUUCCUCAGUCAAAUGGGGCUACUGCACUGAGCUCAUAAACAAUAUAGUUCCUCCAAUGUGAUAGUGAACUCUGUUCUGUUUUAUUGUAAUGCAAAUAAGGUUUCUUAGGAAAGUGUGUGUCCACCUUACAGAGAGGUGACAAAUUAAAGGUAAAAACACCAUAAAGUGUCUAGAAGUUGGCCACCAUAAGCUGACAAAACACUUUUUAAAUACUUUAAGUGCCUUUUCUCAUUAAUUCUAAUUAAUGGAGACUUUUAAACUUUGGACCGUUUUUCUGAAAGAUAUUUCCACAACUGGUGUUUUGUUAAUAGAUGUGGAGAGUGUUUUCUAACAUCUCAUUCCAGAAUGUCUCAUCGCUUUUUUUUUUUACUGGGUUGAAUUUCAGUGACUGUAAAGUUCAUAGCCCAUGACUUUCAACAUUUACAUACUACCCAAGCCAUUCAGCUCAUAAUUGUGCCCUGUGAAUGGGGACAUUUUCACCCUGAAAGAGUAAAUCAGUAGUUGUUCAGUUAUUUCAUUGUUUGCUCUUCUUUACAAAUUCUGCUUACAUGUUAAGAGAAAAAAAAUCCAAAUAAUGUUCAUGAUGAUGAAUAUGAUUGUGUCUCUGCACCUCCUCAUGCCAUGUCACGUGAUCACAUGCACUUGAAUCACAUUGUCUGGUAAUUUGCUCAUGUACAUAAGCUUUUACACCAUAAUUUGUCCUAUGAUUUUUUUGAUCCACCUUGUUCCACUUCAUGUUCAGGUUAUAGUUUACUUGUUUAUGUUCCAUGUUAUUUAGAGUUGUGGUUUCUUUGUCUUUCUUUUUAUGUUUUGUAUAUUGCACCUCAAUUUAAAUUAUCAGCAUUUGCAUGCACUCCCCACUUCUUUACUGUGACAUGAUGACUGUGGACCAGCAAUCCAGACUGUGAAAUCCAUCAAAUUAAUUUGUUUGUCCUUAUGUUGCAAUGAGACCAGCCUCAAACACACUGAAACUUCUCAUUAAUAGUCAAGCAGUGGCGUACACUUAUUAGUCUUAUUAGAAUAUUUGAUUUGUUCCUUGGUGCACAAUAAAUGGUGACAACAUUACUGUACUACCUGAUCUCAAAUGAGUAAUGGCCCACUGAUGAACAGCACUAAUCACUUCAUCCAGCCCACACACUGGUGAGGAAUGUGACACAGCUGAAUUAAUCAGUAUCUGGCUCCCAUUACUCAGUCAUAACUCAUCCAAAUGUUUGCAACUGGGUCACUUUUGGCAAGAGAGAACCAAACAUUUAAGGCCGUUUUUGGUCCACAUGACAAAUGCAGUUAAAACUUUAAAUCUGGAUGCUUAACUUUGGGGAACUUUUCAUCCACAGUACACUUGCUAAUGCCAUAAAAACCUGUAAACUUAAAGUCAAUCAUCUUCUAACCAGAUUUCUUUACCAUUGUUUAUUUGUUGUUGUAAAUACAAUGUACUAUUGCAGUUAUUGUUUAAAAUGCUAACAACAUGUAAAUAAUUUACAUCAACUUGAGCUAGCUAUGAUUCAUUACAUUUGCAUUCAUUGCUUAUACCCAAUAGCACACUUGAAUUUGUGUAUUAAACUCAUGGAUGUGGAGAUACCAGAAUUAAAGCUAUCAACCAGUGAUCCCAUGUGGCCCCUGGUGGCUUGUUUAUUAUAGAUACAUUUGACUGGAUACUGGAGAAACCUGCAAAAUGUUGCUCUCUGAGUUCUGUGUGAACUCAAAACCCUAAAGUCAAAACAUAGGAAUUCAGCGGAAGAUCAUUGCACCUCCUGACUAGGACAGUGAGAGGGCAAUGCCAUGAUAGUGGGAGCAAAACCAAUUGAUAUUCUCAUGCAAUGUGCGGUCACUGUGUUAUGACUUUAAAUUUAAACUACAAUUUUACACACAUUUUCUUAUCAUUACGAAAGAUGGUUAGUUUUGAAGGUCGUUUUUUCGAAAACUUAAAAAAUUGGAAAACAAUGCAACUUGUUCGACCUCUUCAGAAAGUAAUUUCUUUUAGAAGUUUAUAUAAUAUCAUCUGCCAUAUAUAUAUAUAUAUAUAUAUAUAUAUAUAUAUAUAUAUAUAUAUAUAUAUAUAUAUAUAUAUAUAUAUAUAUCGACACUGUUUGGGCUAUAGAAUUAUCCAGAAUUAAUCUAUAAACCAAUGAUUGUUUCAUUAUUAAUUGCAUUUCAGCAGGCACUCAGGCUUGGAUGAUAUCAACAUACAGUCUUAGAACCUGUUUAUUUAAAGUUUUCCUAAUAAAAGCUUCUAAGUAACACUAUUAUGUAAUGAACACUCUGUUUUAAACUGUUUGCGAUUCACUAAGACUUAUUAUUAUUAGUAAACACACACUUACAAUGUUUUAACUAUUGCGAAAUGUGGUUUUAACACGGUAGUACAACCAUGUGUGUCAUCAUCAUGUGUUUUGCAUUUGUAUGACAGGUCGUACAGUGUAAACCCCAGAGGGCUUGAAAUAUGCUGUACAGUGAAGGAAAGCUUGGCACAACCUAAGUCAAGUUCAAAAGUAUAUUAAAUUCGCACAUUUUUGGUUAAUUACAUCUAUCACUCUAACUCUCUUUCUUAUUUCCCCCUCCUUCAACUGCCUUCUUUUUUAUAUACAGGUAAUCUGGAGACAUUGUUUACCCGAGGUUAUGCCUGGCUGCACUGCUUAACGCAUAUAUUCUUUUGUUAAUUUAACAAGUAAUAACAUUUUGAUCUGUUUAAUAAUUCACUUGGAAUAUACUAUACUACAUGGUUAUACCAUAGUAACUGUGGGAAAAUUACACAUUGAAAAACAUACCAUAGUGAAAUCCUGGCUAAUUUGCCUACUCAUAAUUAAACCAUAAUCAAUGAGACAACCUAGAACACAAAUACUGUUCUUCAAAUCUUUCCUAAUUUAUAUACGUGUUUUGUUUUAUCUGCUAUGUUGUAAUGCCCUUUGAAAUGAAUUGUAAUUAAAUAAUGUGCGACAGUUUUUA